rnacentral:rRNA from 1 species
AGAUUGAACGCUGGCGGCAUGCCUUACACAUGCAGGUCGAACGGCAGCACGGGAGCAAUCCUGGUGGCGAGUGGCGAACGGGUGAGUAAUAUAUCGGAACGUGCCCAGUUGUGGGGGAUAGCCCGGCGAAAGCCGGAUUAAUACCGCAUACGACUUGAGGGUGAAAGCGGGGACCUGCAAGGGCCUCGCGCAAUUGGAGCGGCCGAUAUCAGAUUAGCUAGUUGGUGGGUAAAGGCCUACCAAGGCGACGAUCUGUAGCUGGUCUGAGAGGACGACCAGCCACACUGGGACUGAGACACGGCCCAGACUCCUACGGGAGGCAGCAGUGGGAAUUUUGGACAAGUGGGCGCGAAGCCGUGAAUCCACGCCAUCGCCGCGGUGUAGGGAAGAGGCCGUUCGGGUUAGUAAACCCGUACUUUUUCGUACGUAAGGGAACGGAAACGGUACGUUA